UAAGGAAUAUUGGUCAAUGGACGAAAGUCUGAACCAGCCAUGCCGCGUGAAGGAUGACGGCCCUCUGGGUUGUAAACUUCUUUUAUCUGGGACGAAAAAAGAUCAUUCCUGAUCACUUGACGGUACCAGAGGAAUAAGCACCGGCUAACUCCGUGCCAGCAGCCGCGGUAAUACGGAGGGUGCAAGCGUUAUCCGGAUUUACUGGGUUUAAAGGGUGCGUAGGUGGGUCUGUAAGUCAGUGGUGAAAUCUUCGAGCUUAACUCGGAAACUGCCAUUGAUACUAUAGGUCUUGAAUCAUCUGGAGGUGAGCGGAAUAUGUCAUGUAGCGGUGAAAUGCUUAGAUAUGACAUAGAACACCGAUUGCGAAGGCAGCUCACUACGGAUGUAUUGACACUGAGGCACGAAAGCGUGGGGAUCAAACA
rnacentral:rRNA from 1 species